GACGAACGCUGGCGGCGUGCUUAACACAUGCAAGUCGAACGAUGAAGGAGAGCUUGCUCUCCGGAUUAGUGGCGAACGGGUGAGUAACACGUGACUAACCUGCCCCUUUCUCUGGGAUAACGCUCCGAAAGGAGUGCUAAUACCGGAUACGAACCCUGGACACAUGUUCGGAGUUGGAAAGUUUUUCGGAAAGGGAUGGAGUCGCGGCCUAUCAGCUUGUUGGUGAGGUAACGGCUCACCAAGGCGACGACGGGUAGCCGGCCUGAGAGGGCGACCGGCCACACUGGGACUGAGACACGGCCCAGACUCCUACGGGAGGCAGCAGUGGGGAAUAUUGCACAAUGGGCGAAAGCCUGAUGCAGCGACGCCGCGUGAGGGAUGAAGGUCUUCGGAUUGUAAACCUCUUUCAGUAGGGACGAAGCGAAAGUGACGGUACCUAAAGAAGAAGCACCGGCUAACUACGUGCCAGCCGCCGCAGUAA
rnacentral:rRNA from 1 species